UACGUAGGGGGCAAGCGUUGUCCGGAAUUAUUGGGCGUAAAGCGCUCGCAGGUGGUUCGUCGCGUCGUGCGUGAAAGACCCCGGCUCAACUGGGGAGGGUCGUGCGAUACGGGCGGACUGGAGGCCAGUAGGGGGAUGCGGAAUUCCGGGUGUAGUGGUGGAAUGCGUAGAGAUCCGGAGGAACACCAGCGGCGAAGGCGGCAUCCUGGACUGGUCCUGACACUCAGGAGCGAAAGCGUGGGGAGCGAGUCCGG
rnacentral:rRNA from 1 species